rnacentral:rRNA from 1 species
GCGAACGCUGGCGGCAGGCCUAAUACAUGCAAGUCGAGCGGUCCCUUCGGGGGCAGCGGCGGACGGGUGAGUAACGCGUGGGAACGUGCCCUUUGGUACGGAACAACUGAGGGAAACUUCAGCUAAUACCGUAUGUGCCCUUCGGGGGAAAGAUUUAUCGCCAUUGGAGCGGCCCGCGUUAGAUUAGCUAGUUGGUAGGGUAAAGGCCUACCAAGGCGACGAUCUAUAGCUGGUCUGAGAGGAUGAUCAGCCACACUGGGACUGAGACACGGCCCAGACUCCUACGGGAGGCAGCAGUAGGGAAUCUUGCGCAAUGGGCGAAAGCCUGACGCAGCCAUGCCGCAUGAAUGAUGAAGGUCUUAGGAUUGUAAAAUUCUUUCACCGGGGACGAUAAUGACGGUACCCGGAGAAGAAGCCCCGGCUAACUUCGUGCCAGCAGCCGCCGUAACAC